rnacentral:lncRNA from 1 species
CUGCUCUGCAUUUAUCAAUUUUUUCUGAGGAAUUUCUUGACUGCUCUAACACAUUGACUUCACCAGAAGAACUUUACAAUCAACUUAUCAGGUUCUACAAAGUAUGCCAUUAUAACCGGAUUUAUAGAUCCAUUUAGAGACAAUUGAUAUACAUCGUGUCUUCCCAUCUAGGAGCAUGGAAUCACUGACGUUCAAGGAUGUGGCAGUAGACUUCACUUGGGAAGAAUGGAAGUUAAUGGACCCUGCACAAAGGAAUCUUCACAAGGAUGUAAUGCUAGAGACCUACGGGAACUGGCUUCUCUGGGCAAGAAAUUUCUCUUCUGUGACUCUCCAUCUAUUGGACCAAAUGGAUCUUUAUGGUUCAGGGAUUUAUGAUUUCUUAUGGACCCUUUGUGGACUAACUUUAUCCCCAUUUCCAGGACUUGCAGUUUCCAAACCAGACAUGAUCUCCCAAUUGGAGGAAGGAAAAGAACCUGGGAUGGUGGUGAGACGGAUUUAAGGAAACUGACUGGAAGACCAAACCUGAAACCAAGCAUCCUGUUCCAACAGCAGAUAUUUCUGAAGAAGGAACAUGCAAGGGACCAUAAUGGAAAGACUAAUAAAAAAUGAUCCUCAGGAUCCUAGUUUAGGAGAAUCCAGGACAAGAUAUUACAGGUUAUUGAGACAAAAUUUUUGUGAUAAUUUGAAUAAAAGAAUAAUUACCCAAGGGGAAACUCUCACUGAAGAAAGUGACUUCUGGUUGAAGUCUACUCUCUUUAAAGAACAGAGAAGUCUUACAGAAGACAGUCAUCACAGAAGUAAUCUAGAUGGACAAAGUUGGAAAGAAAACUCAGAGCUGAUUAUUCAAUCAGGAACCUACUUGGGCAAGAAAAUUUGCAAGACUGCUAACAGCAACAAGGAUGUGAGAUACUCUUCAGAAGAUUUUUUCCAGAAUCUAUUAUCUUUGGAAAUUUUUUGAAUCAGUAAUAAGUGCAUAUAUACAAAACUCAGGAAAUCCAAAAGAUAUGCCUCAUUAAAAGUGUUCUUCCUCAAUUGAUUCUUCAGAUUUUUCAUUCUCCUGUUCAGUGUUUAGUUCUAGUUUUUCAGUAAUGGAUAUCAUGGAUUCAGAAUAGCAUUAGCAUCUUUGUGCAUAUAUGUACACCUUACUAUAUUUUCAUUGUUUUCUUAAGGUAGUCUCAGAAAUGAAAAUUAACUGUGCUAUGAUUUUUUAAACUUUCCUUCCAAAAUAGUUUCAGCACUUUACAAUGCCAUUGUAAACAUAUGAAGAUGAUAUUUUCAGUAAACUCUCAACAUACCAGAAUGUCA